GCCAGGCAUGGUGGCACCGGCCUGUAGUCCCAGCUACUCUGGAGGCUGAGACAGGAGGAUCGCUUGAGCCCAGGAGUUCUGGGCUGCAGUGUGCUAUGCCGAUUGGUGUCCGCACUAAGUUCGGCAUCAAUAUGGUGACCUCCGGGGAGCUGGGGCCCACCAGGUUGCCUAAGGAGGGGUGAACCGGCCCAGGUCGGAAAUGGAGCAGGUCAAAACUCCCAUGCUGAUCAGUAGUGGGAUCGCGCCUGUGAAUGGCCACUGCACUCCAGCCUGGGCAACAUAACGAGAAA
rnacentral:SRP_RNA from 1 species